AUUGAACGCUGGCGGCAGGCCUAACACAUGCAAGUCGAGCGGAUGAAGGGAGCUUGCUCCUGGAUUCAGCGGCGGACGGGUGAGUAAUGCCUAGGAAUCUGCCUGGUAGUGGGGGAUAACGUCCGGAAACGGGCGCUAAUACCGCAUACGUCCUGAGGGAGAAGGUGGGGGAUCUUCGGACCUCACGCUAUCAGACGAGCCUAGGUCGGAUUAGCUAGUUGGUGGGGUAAAGGCCUACCAAGGCGACGAUCCGUAACUGGUCUGAGAGGAUGAUCAGUCACACUGGAACUGAGACACGGUCCAGACUCCUACGGGAGGCAGCAGUGGGGAAUAUUGGACAAUGGGCGAAAGCCUGAUCCAGCCAUGCCGCGUGUGUGAAGAAGGUCUUCGGAUUGUAAAGCACUUUAAGUUGGGAGGAAGGGCAGUAAGUUAAUACCUUGCUGUUUUGACGUUACCAACAGAAUAAGCACCGGCUAACUUCGUG
rnacentral:rRNA from 1 species